rnacentral:lncRNA from 1 species
GUGCCUGCUAGGCAAGUGCUAGUCCCAUGGCUACUGUUUGUGGUUGUGAGGUCAGUGGUGGCUCAGUGCCUGCUAGGCCAGUGCUAGGCCCAUGGCUGCUGUUUGUGGUUGUGAGGUCACUUGUGGCUCAGUGCCUGAC